rnacentral:rRNA from 1 species
CCCUUAGAUGUUCGGGGCCGCACGCGCGCUACAAUGAUGAAUUCAACGAGUUUAUAACCUUGGUUGAAAAGCCUGGGUAAUCUUUUGAACUUUCGUCGUGAUGGGGCUAGACCCUUGCAAUUAUUGGUCUCCAACGAGGAAUUCCUAGUAAACGCAAGUCAUCAGCUUGCAUUGAUUACGUCCCUGCCCUUUGUACACACCGCCCGUCGCACCUACCGAUUGAAUGGUCCGGUGAAAUCUUCGGAUUGAGACUUUGAUUUCUUCACGGAAAACGCUGUUUUAAGAAGUUGAUUAAACCUUACCAUUUAGAGGAAGGUGAAGUCGUAACA